GUUAGGUAAAUCCGGCUCUUUCUAAGGCUGAGACACGACGUCGAGCACCUACGGGUGUGAAGUCAUUGAUGCCAUGCUUCCAGGAAAAGCCUCUAAGCUUCAGAUUGUAAGGAAUCGUACCCCAAACGACACAGGUGGUCGGGUAGAGAAUACCAAGGCGCUUGAGAGAACUCGGGUGAAGGAACUAGGCAAAAUGGUACCGUAACUUCGGGAGAAGGUACGCUCUUGAUGGUGAAGUCCCU
rnacentral:rRNA from 1 species